GUGCUUGCAUCAGCAGCACAUGUAUUAAAAUUGGAAUGAUACGGAGAGGAUUAGCAUAGCCCCUGUGCAAGCAUAACAUGCAAAUUCAUGAAGUGUUCUGUAUUUUC